ACUUUACAAUGCUGGCAACAGCGAUAAGGGAACCUCGAGUGCCAGGUUACAAAUCUGGCUGUCGAGAUGCCUAAAAAGCAUUUCAUAGCAAGGGCCGGGCAAGACCGGUGCCAGCCGCCGCGGUAACACCGGCGGCUCGAGUGGUAACCGUUAUUAUUGGGUCUAAAGGGUCUGUAGCCGGCCGGAUAAGUCUCUUGAGAAAUCUGGCAGCUUAACUGUCAGGCUUUCAGGAGAUACUGUCUGGCUCGAGGCCGGGAGAGGUGAGAGGUACUUCAGGGGUAGGGGUGAAAUCUUGUAAUCCUUGAAGGACCACCAGUGGCGAAGGCGUCCCACCAGAACGGACCUGACGGCAAGGGACGAAAGCUAGGGGCACGAACCGGAUUAGAUACCCGGGUAGUCCUAGCCGUAAACGAUACUCGCUAGGUGUCGGCCACGGUGCGACCGUUGUCGGUGCCGUAGGGAAGCCGUGAAGCGAGCCACCUGGGAAGUACGGCCGCAAGGCUGAAACUUAA
rnacentral:rRNA from 1 species